GAUGAACGCUGGCUACAGGCUUAACACAUGCAAGUCGAGGGGAAACGACAUCUAAAGCUUGCUUUUGAUGGGCGUCGACCGGCGCACGGGUGAGUAACGCGUAUCCAACCUGCACAUCACUUGGGAAUAACCUUGCGAAAGUAAGACUAAUACCCAAUGAUAUCCCACGAAGGCAUCGGAAUGGGAUUAAAGAUUUAUCGGUGACGGAUGGGGAUGCGUCUGAUUAGCUUGUUGGCGGGGUAACGGCCCACCAAGGCAACGAUCAGUAGGGGUUCUGAGAGGAAGGUCCCCCACAUUGGAACUGAGACACGGUCCAAACUCCUACGGGAGGCAGCAGUGAGGAAUAUUGGUCAAUGGGCGAGAGCCUGAACCAGCCAAGUAGCGUGCAGGAAGACGGCCCUAUGGGUUGUAAACUGCUUUUAUAAGGGAAUAAAGUGGGUCACGUGUGACUUUUUGCAUGUACCUUAUGAAUAAGGACCGGCUAAUUCCGUG
rnacentral:rRNA from 1 species